UAUCUCUGUAGAGUCUGCAUAUCAAUAAGCGGAGGAAAAGAAACUAACUAAGGAUUCCCUUAGUAACGGCGAGUGAAGCGGGAAGAGCUCAAAUUUGAAAUCUUCAAGGUUUUACCUUGACGAAUUGUAGUUUAAAGAAGUGUUUUCUGUUGAAGUUUUGGUAAAAGUUCUUUGGAAUAGGACAUCAUAGAGGGUGAGAAUCCCGUAUUUGACCGUUAUUUCUCAGCUGUGUGAUACACUUUCAAAGAGUCGGAUUGUUUGGGAAUGCAGUCCAAAAUGGGUGGUAAAUUUCAUCUAAAGCUAAAUAUUGGCGAGAGACCGAUAGCGAACAAGUACCGUGAGGGAAAGAUGAAAAGAACUUUGAAAAGAGAGUUAAACAGUACGUGAAAUUGUCAAAAGGGAAGCGUUUGACACCAGUGUUGUUUUCUCGAAAAUCAAUUAAAAAUGGCUUGAUUUUGUGUUGUAUUGACCUUAAAAGCUUUCUUCACUUUUUUUCAUGUCUUUUUUAAUGCACUUUUCGUUUAACAAGUCAACAUCAAUUUCUUUUGUUGUAAAAAGGGUCAUUGGAAGGUGGCUUUCUUUUCGGAGAAAGUGUUUAUAGCCUUUGACUUCUGCAAUCGGAGAGACUGAGGUCUGCAGCGUAGAUCCUUCUGGAUUAGAUUCAUUUGUGCUAAGUUACAACCGUUUAUAGACAACUUGUUGACUAUAUUCGAUCCUGUAGCUUACUCGCUUAUGUAAUUUUACCUACGCUUAGGAUGUUGAUAUGCAUGACUGAUAU
rnacentral:rRNA from 1 species